rnacentral:rRNA from 1 species
CCUACGGGCGGCAGCAGUAGGGAAUCUUCGGCAAUGGACGAAAGUCUGACCGAGCAACGCCGCGUGAGUGAAGAAGGUUUUCGGAUCGUAAAACUCUGUUGGUAGAGAAGAACGUUGGUUAGAGUGGAAAGCUCAUCAAGUGACGGUAACUACCCAGAAAGGCACGGCUAACUACGUGCCAGCAGCCGCGGUAAUACGUAGGUCCCGAGGGUUGUCCGGAUUUAUUGGGCUAAAAGCGAGCGCAGGUGGUUUAUUAAGUCUGGUGUAAAUGGCAGUGGCCCAAGCAUUGAAUGCAUUGGAAACUGGUAGACUUGAGUGCGGGAGAGGAGAGUGGAAUUCCAGGUGUAGCGGUGAAAUGCGUAGAUAUAUGGAGGAACAUCGGUGGCGAAGGCGGCUCUCUGGCCUGUAACUGACGCUGAGGAUCGAAAGCGUGGGGAGCAAACAGGAUUAGAUACCCCAGUAGUC